AUAUAUAUAUAAUUGAAUUUGGACUUCUUCAUUACUUAAUCUUAAAAUUUUAAUUAUAACAAUCCUCCCACCCCAACCCAUUUCUCUCUCUCUCUCUCUCUCUCUCUCUCUCUCUCUCUCUAAUCACUAAAUUUUUAACACACAGAAUCUGUUAUUUAUUUAUUUUUCCAUGUGCAGUAAAAAUGUUUAAAUACUUUGUUAUAUUUAUAUAUGUGCUGGCAUUGUUAACUGUAAGGAAAAAAUAAAGAGAUAUUUAUCUCAUCUUUGUUAAGAAAUGAAGUGACAUUUUAUGAAUCAGAAAAAAAAAAACCCAGAAAAUAUAACACAGCUUUACUGUAAUAUUUUUCACUAGCUCAGUUACAUUUUGCCUU